rnacentral:rRNA from 1 species
ACAACUUUUAGCAACGGAUCUCUUGGCUCUCGCAUCGAUGAAGAACGCAGCGAAAUGCGAUAAGUAAUGUGAAUUGCAGAAUUCAGUGAAUCAUCGAAUCUUUGAACGCACCUUGCGCUCCUUGGUAUUCCGAGGAGCAUGCCUGUUUGAGUGUCAUGAAAUUCU